AUUGAACGCUGGCGGCAGGCCUAACACAUGCAAGUCGAGCGGAUGACGGGAGCUUGCUCCUUGAUUCAGCGGCGGACGGGUGAGUAAUGCCUAGGAAUCUGCCUGGUAGUGGGGGACAACGUUUCGAAAGGAACGCUAAUACCGCAUACGUCCUACGGGAGAAAGCAGGGGACCUUCGGGCCUUGCGCUAUCAGAUGAGCCUAGGUCGGAUUAGCUAGUUGGUGAGGUAUGGCUCACCAAGGCGACGAUCCGUAACUGGUCUGAGAGGAUGAUCAGUCACACUGGAACUGAGACACGGUCCAGACUCCUACGGGAGGCAGCAGUGGGGAAUAUUGGACAAUGGGCGAAAGCCUGAUCCAGCCAUGCCGCGUGUGUGAAGAAGGUCUUCGGAUUGUAAAGCACUUUAAGUUGGGAGGAAGGGCAGUAAGCUAAUACCUUGCUGUUUUGACGUUACCGACAGAAUAAGCACCGGCUAACUCUGUGCCAGCCGCCGCCGUAACAC
rnacentral:rRNA from 1 species